rnacentral:precursor_RNA from 15 species
GCCCCACACUCACCUGGGGGCGGCCAUCGCCAUCUUACUGGGCAGCAUUGGAUGGUGUCAGAGCUCUAAUACUGCCUGGUAAUGAUGACGGCGGGGCCCUACGAGCAGCGAUGGGGCCG